rnacentral:lncRNA from 1 species
AUGGUUUUAAUUUCGACCCUAAAAUCAAAACUGCACUUAUGGUGGCUUACAGUAAGUGUAGCGAAAUCAACGAUGCAUUCAAGUUGUUCUCAACAAUGCAUGAAGCUCAAAAUGUUGUAUCUUGGACAGCUAUGAUCAGUGGGCACCUGCAGAACGGUGAAAUUCAAGAGGCAGUUAAACUUUUUUGUUUAAUGAACAAGGAAGGUGUUAAACCAAACGAUUUUACUUAUUCUACCAUCCUUACGGCUCAACCAGCUGUUUCUCCUUUCCAAAUACAUGCACAAGCAAUCAAAGCUAAUUAUGAGAAGUCGC